rnacentral:rRNA from 1 species
AAGUCGUAACAAGGUUUCCGUAGGUGAACCUGCGGAAGGAUCAUUAAAAGUUGUGCGAGGCGGUCCUUGGCACUGCCAGGGGGCCGCUUAGACAUCAACACCCUCUGUAUAUCUACCGCGUUGCUUUGGCGGGGCGGCAGCCAGCAGCCCUGCUGGGAAGCUGUCCGCAGGGCCUCUCAAGACUCUGUGAGCGCCCGCCAGAGAACUAUCAAACUCAUGUUAAACCGUGAUGUCUGAGCUUUACAAGCAAAUAAGUUAAAACUUUCAACAACGGAUCUCUUGGUUCUCGCAUCGAUGAAGAACGCAGCGAAAUGCGAUAAGUAAUGUGAAUUGCAGAAUUCAGUGAAUCAUCGAAUCUUUGAACGCAUAUUGCGCCCCUUGGUAUUCCGAGGGGCAUGCCUUUUCGAGCGUCAUUACAACCGUCAAGCUCUGCUUGGUAUUGGGCCUCUGUCUCCACGUGGGCAGGCCUCAAAGUCAUCAGCGGCUGAGAGAACAGCAUUCUAGCGUAGUAGAAAUUAACUCGCUGGGGACCGACCUCAGGUAGCUGUCAAACACGCGCCUUUGCGCAAAUCUUAGGUUGACCUCGGAUAAGGUAGGGAUACCCGCUGAACUUAAGCAUAUCAAUAAGCGGAGGAAAAGAAACCAACAGGGAUUGCCUCAGUAACGGCGAGUGAAGCGGCAACAGCUCAAAUUUGAAAUCUGGUCCUUUCAGGGCCCGAGUUGUAAUUUGGAGAGGAUGCUUCGGCUGCGGCCCUGGUCUAAGUUCCUUGGAACAGGACGUCACAGAGGGUGAGAACCCCGUACGUGGCUGGGUGCCUACGCCAUGUGAAGCUCNUUCGACGAGUCGAGUUGUUUGGGAAUGCAGCUCUAAACGGGAGGUAGAUUUCUUCUAAAGCUAAAUACCGGCGAGAGACCGAUAGCGCACAAGUAGAGUGAUCGAAAGAUGAAAAGCACUUUGGAAAGAGAGUUAAAAAGUACGUGAAAUUGUUGAAAGGGAAGCGCUUGCAACCAGACUUGGACGUAGUUGCUUAGCUGGGCUUCUGCCCGGUGCACUCUUCUGCGCCCAGGCCAGCAUCAGUUCAGGCGGCUGGAUAAAGGCCUUGGGAAUGUAGCUCCUCUCGGGGAGUGUUAAAGCCCUCGGUGCAAUGCGGCCUGCCUGGACUGAGGUCCGCGCUUCGGCUAGGAUGCUGGCGUAAUGGUUGUAAGCGGCC